rnacentral:rRNA from 1 species
GAUGAACGCUGGCGGCGUGCCUAAUACAUGCAAGUCGAGCGAACAGACGAGGAGCUUGCUCCUUUGACGUUAGCGGCGGACGGGUGAGUAACACGUGGGUAACCUACCUAUAAGACUGGGAUAACUUCGGGAAACCGGAGCUAAUACCGGAUAAUAUUUUGAACCGCAUGGUUCGAUAGUGAAAGACGGCCUUGCUAUCACUUAUAGAUGGAUCUGCGCUGCAUUAGCUAGUUGGUAAGGUAACGGCUUACCAAGGCAACGAUACGUAGCCGACCUGAGAGGGUGAUCGGCCACACUGGAACUGAGACACGGUCCAGACUCCUACGGGAGGCAGCAGUAGGGAAUCUUCCGCAAUGGGCGAAAGCCUGACGGAGCAACGCCGCGUGAGUGAUGAAGGUCUUCGGAUCGUAAAACUCUGUUAUUAGGGAAGAACAAACGUGUAAGUAACUGUGCACAUCUUGACGGUACCUAAUCAGAAAGCCACGGCUAACUACGUG